GUCUACUGCCAUGCCACCCUGAACGUGCCCAAGCUUGGCUGAUCUCAGAAGCUGAGCAGGGUUGGGCCUGAUUAGUACUUGGAUGGGAGACCUCACAGAACACAGUAACAAAUGAGC
ensembl:rRNA 5S_rRNA 5S ribosomal RNA